rnacentral:rRNA from 1 species
UACGUAGGGUGCAAGCGUUGUCCGGAAUUAUUGGGCGGAAAGAGCUCGUAGGCGGUUCGUCGCGUCGGCUGUGAAAACCCGGAGCUCAACUCCGGGCCUGCAGUCGAUACGGGCGGACUAGAGUUCGGCAGGGGAGACUGGAAUUCCUGGUGUAGCGGUGAAAUGCGCAGAUAUCAGGAGGAACACCGGUGGCGAAGGCGGGUCUCUAGGCCGAUACUGACGCUGAGGAGCGAAAGCGUGGGGAGCGAACAGG